rnacentral:rRNA from 1 species
CCACUUUUGUCAGGGAAGAAACGGUUUGUCCUAAUACGGCGGACUAAUGACGGUACCUGAAGAAUAAGCACCGGCUAACUACGUGCCAGCAGCCGCGGUAAUACGUAGGGUGCAAGCGUUAAUCGGAAUUACUGGGCGUAAAGCGUGCGCAGGCGGCUUUGCAAGACAGAUGUGAAAUCCCCGGGCUCAACCUGGGAACUGCAUUUGUGACUGCAUGGCUAGAGUACGGUAGAGGGGGAUGGAAUUCCGCGUGUAGCAGUGAAAUGCGUAGAUAUGCGGAGGAACACCGAUGGCGAAGGCAAUCCCCUGGACCUGUACUGACGCUCAUGCACGAAAGCGUGGGGAGCAAACAGGAUUAGAUACCCUGGUAGUCCACGCCCU